UCACUUUGUCCAUUUCCACCUUCAAUACUUUAAGCUCCUCCUGAAGGGACUUGUUUAAUGUCACUUCCGCUUCGAAUUCUAGGUGAAUUUUU